rnacentral:lncRNA from 1 species
CUAGAGAAAACACUAUUAAGAGAGUGAAGAAACAAUCACUGGCUUGGUGAACGGUCUUCGUACUCCUCCUCACGCUGGCUGCGGUUUCUAGCUGGUAUAGGUGUGUUGCUCCUCUUUCUCUUAGGGCUGCGGCUUCUGGCUGGUAUAGGUGUGUUGCUCCGCUUUCUCUUAGGGCUGCUUCUGGUUGGUAUAGGUGUGUUGCUCCUCCUCUUUCUCCUUGGGCUGCGGCCUCUGGCUGGUACAGGUGUGUUGCUCCUGCUUCUCCUCGGGCUUGGACUACGGCUUACGUUUCUUCUCGGACUAGGGCUAAUGCUUCUUCCUGGACUUGGGCUACGGCUUAUGCUGCGUCUCUUACUUCUAGCUGGAGUUACACUGCGACCCCUGGAGCCAUU